AUACGUAGGGUGCGAGCGUUGUCCGGAAUUACUGGGCGUAAAGAGCUCGUAGGUGGUUUGUCGCGUCGUCUGUGAAAUUCCGGGGCUUUACUCCGGGCGUGCAGGCGAUACGGGCAUAACUUGAGUACUGUAGGGGAGACUGGAAUUCCUGGUGUAGCGUUAAAUUGGGAGAUAUCAGGAGGAACACCGGUGGCGAAGGGGGGUCUCUGGGCAGUAACGGACGCUGAGGAGCGAAAGCAUGGGUAGCGAACAGGAUUAGAUACCCUGGUAGUCCAUGCCGUAAACGGUGGGCGCUAGGUGUAGGGGUCUUCCACGACUUCUGUGCCGUAGCUAACGCAUUAAGCGCCCCGCCUGGGGAGUACGGCCGCAAGGCUAAAACUCAAAGGAAUUGACGGGG
rnacentral:rRNA from 1 species